UACGUAGGUGGCAAGCGUUGUCCGGAUUUACUGGGCGUAAAGGGCGUGCAGGCGGUUUUUUAAGUCUAGGGUGAAAGCUCCCGGCUCAACUGGGAGAGGUCCUUGGAUACUGGAAAACUUGAGGGAUGCAGAGGAAAGUGGAAUUCCCGGUGUAGUGGUGAUAUGCGUAGAUAUCGGGAGGAACACCAGUGGCGAAGGCGGCUUUCUGGGCAUUUCCUGACGCUGAGGCGCGAAAGCGUGGGGAGCAAACGGG
rnacentral:rRNA from 1 species